rnacentral:rRNA from 1 species
AUACGUAGGGGGCAAGCGUUAUCCGGAAUUACUGGGUGUAAAGGGAGAGUAGGCGGCAUGAUAAGUUAGAUGUGAAAGCCUUGGGCUUAACCCGAGGAUUGCAUUUAAAACUAUCAAGCUAGAGUACAGGAGAGGUAAGUGGAAUUCCUAGUGUAGCGGUGAAAUGCGUAGAUAUUAGGAAGAACACCAGCGGCGAAGGCGACUUUCUGGACUGUGUCUGACACUGAGGCGCGAAAGCCAGGGGAGC